UAUUAGGGAGAGACCUCCCUAGAGAGAGCACAAGCAGGGGGAGACAGAGGCAGUGGCAGAGAUGAGAGGGAGAAGCAGGCUCCCCACUGAGCAGGCUGGAUCCCGGGAUCAUGAUCUGAACCAAAUCGAAGCCCAGUGCUUAACCAGUGCUUAACCGAUUGAGCCAUCCAGGUGCCCAAGAUAGAGACAUUAAAGCCAAGAAAGCUAUAAAAAUAAAUCUUAGUACCUUGUGCUAACCUACUACCUCAGCACAAAUUCAGCUUAGAAUUCUUUACCAAUUGGGGGUCCCUGGGUGGCUCAGCAGCUCAGGACCUGCUUUUGGUCCAGAGCAUGAUCCUGGAGACCCGGGAUCGAGUUCGGCGUCGGGCUCCCUGCAUUGAGUCUGCCCGUGUCCCUGGGUCUCUCAUGAAUAAAUAAAUAAAAUCUUAAAAAAGAAAAAGAAUUAUUUGCUAAUUAGAGCCCCCAAACACCUCUUUUUUCCUUGUCCUGUAAAUUCCUCACAAAUGUAUUGUCUCGUUGUCUAAAACGUACAAAAACUGCCUGCCUAGGUCAUUUUUUUGAGUCUUGAUUUUAUUAUUGGGCUUUGUGGGCACAUAACAAAGAUUUGGGUUUUUUUUUCUUCUGUUAACUUGUCUCCUGUAAAUUGAAUUCGUAGUCCAGCCAGGAACACCCUGAAGGUAGAGGAAGAAUUUUUCCUUCCAGGUAGUUGGCAUAACUACCUUAGUGGGCAAGAUCUUUUCAUUUGUGGGGGCAACUGCUUGCCCCAGACACUGCCCCCACCGAGCUCCUGGGGCAUCUGACAAUACAGCUGGCAGCAGGUAAGAUCAGCCUUCUGGAAUCUGUCUGCAGGUAAGUUGGGUUUUUUGUUGUUGUUGUUGUUGUUGUUGUUGUUUUUUACCAUGUCAGCCUUCUGGAAUCUCUGUCUGCAGAUUCCAGACUUCUGGGAAUCUCUGUCUGAGUCUCAGAAUGGUGAGAAUCUUUUUUACUCUCUAAAUUCAGAUUAGCAGGAGAAAAUAUUGUGGACCUGGCUCCUUGGGCUUAGCAACUCUUAGGACAAAUUUGGCAGCACACUCUUUGGUUGCUGAUCCAUUUUUGUCCCAGAGAUUGUCUUUGUUGGUCUGUGUCUUCUGUGCCCUGUGUUCAAAAAAAGGAAUUACCAAGGGCAGGCACACCCUAGAAGCCUGAUUUUUCCAGCUCGCCUCACAGACUGAUCAGUUCACAGUUCUCACCAGACCAGGGUCUGUUGGAGCAAACUUUGCUGAGAGUUCCCUAUAUAAAAACCAGAUGAAGUUUUUCCUUUUGUCUUGUUUUGUGUUCUAAGAGCUUGGCUUUGUGACCAAUGAGAACAUUGUCUCUGGUCUCCAUCAUCCGGAGGGUGCACUUACUGGGGUGCACCUUGGUGCCCAAAUAGGCUAGGGAUCCUAGACACUCAGUUACAAAAAGCACCCUCAAAAAAAAAAAAAAAAGCACCCUCAGUUGAGCAGCUGCCUUCAUUCACCUCAAGUCAUGAUCCCAGAGUCCUGGGAUCUAGCCCUGUGUCCCCGCGUCAGGGUCCCUGUUCAGUGGGGAGUCCGCUUCUCCCUCUCCUUCUCUCCUGUUUGUGCUCUCUCUGUCACAUAAGCAAAAUCUUUCAAAACAAAAGGAAAAGCACACUCUGUCCCUCUGUGUCACCUCUCAGGAGAGUUUAUCGUAAGGAAUCUGAGCCCAUAGGGGGCACUUAUCACCUCAACCUUUGUUGCAGGUUAGUGCUGACAAAAUCCCAUUCCCCUACUGCCCAGUGUCACAGAUUAGUGGGUCUGUGACUGGAGGCAUCUCAGAUUUGUGGGAGACCAGAGACACAGUGUUCACCACAUCAUGCUUACCACUUAUGAAACCAAGGUCUAAGAAAAGACUAUUUUGUGGGAAUAAACUUUUAGGUCAGGAGGACUUUAUCAUCUGUGCCUUCUCUGAAUGCCACUUACAUUUUUGGUUAAGCCAUUAAAAAGCUUAUUGGUUUGAGUCACUACUAAAAUUAAUAAGAUCCUCUCCACCAAUGACCAGAUGAUAGAUCCUUUAAAUUGGCUAUAUUUAAAUAAGUAAAUAAAUAUUCUUUAUCGAGAGCUCUGAAUUGUCUUAUUAGAAUAACUACUAACCUUAGGUGAUGUGAUAUGGUGUGAUGUGAUGUGAUGUGAUGUGAUGUGAUGUGAUGUGAUGUGAUGUAAUGUGACGUGAUGUGAUGUGACGUGAUGUGAUGUUUGGGGUCCAGGAGUGAAGAGUCAAGAAAGGAUUCUUGAGACGUCUUCAGUGCAGAAAAAAGAUGGUUUUAUUAAAGCAUGGGGAAAGGACCCGUGGACAGAAAGAACUGCACUAGGGUUGUGAGGAGUGGCUGAUUAUGUACUUCUAAGUUGGGAGGGGGUUAGGGAUAGCAUAAGUCUCUAAGGAAUUUGGGAACAAAAUUUUGCAGGACCUUGAGAGGCUAGCUGCUGUUAUAAGAUCAUUGACUAUUGUCUAGUAAACCCUUGGUCAUGAGACCCCUCACAUGUGUAUCAGUGGGCCAUGUGCUUGGAGGAUGAUUGCCAACAGGGAUCUUGGGGAAGUUUCCAAAGGGUUUUUUAUAUGGUAAAGUCUACAGGAUCCUAGAGGUCAGGCUAAUGUCAAGCUAAGGUUGCCUUUUGCCUUUAGCAAGGUAUUAAUGAUGAAGUUUUGAAAUAUAGGUGAGGUUUAGUGGGGUGAGGUCCAGAGCCAACGACCAAGAAAGAAUUCUUGAGACAUCUUUGGUGCAAAAUGGUAGUUUUAUUAAAGCCCAGGGACAGGACCCGUGCGCAGGAAGAGUGGCUGCCCCGGGCCUGUGGGGGUGGCUAAUUAUAUACCUGGCAGUGGAGAAGGGUUUGGGGAGAGCAUACUCUCUAAUGAAUUUUGGAAAUAAGGUUUCCAGGACCUUGGGGGGGCUAGCUCUUGUUGGGGAAAGGUCACUUAUUACUGUCUAAUAAAACCUGAAUCAUGAGACCCUUCAGCUGUGUAUCCGUGGGCCAUGUGCUUGGGGGAUGGUUGCCAACAUGUAUGUUGUGGGGUAGAGAUAAAGGAACUUUCUAAAGGAAUUUUUAUAUGUUAAAGUAGACUCACAGGCUCCCGGGGGUCGGGCUAAGAUUGCCUUCUGCCCUUAGCAAAGUAUGAACAUCGAGGCAGUUGAGUCUGUAGAGGAAUGUCACUCUGCCUAUUUCAAGGACUUGUCAACGUGCUUUGUCCUCAGCUAGUCCUCUGUUCCCUCAUCAUUCACAUGAGGCAGUUGAGUUCCUGGAGGAAGGUCACCCUGCCUGUCUUAAGUACUUGCGAAGGAGCUCGCAGUUGUAGGGAAAUUUCAUUUUUCCACAUUUCUUUUGCCUUUGUUCUUCACAUCAUUAAGGGACUCCCUUGGAAAGAUACAAGAACAAAAAUUCAACUUACGACAAAUAAAUGUCCACAUCCAAUGAAAAUUCACCUUCUUAAAAUCUAGCCCCAUUUGCCGGUUUUAACUUCCUUUUCCCUACAAGAUUUGCAGACAGCACUCCAGCCUAACCUCUGGGUUCGAAGUAUACAGUCUACUCUUACAAAUGCUGAGAGCCAGAAAGUGAAUUUAGCAGUAGCUCCUGGGACUCAUGGUAGGGCUCACUUUGCUUUAAUCAGGCUCUGGCAGCUUCAGGCAUUUCUGUGCAGUGACCCUUACAGAUGUAUCUUACAUACACACCCCACACACACAACCGUGAAGGAUUCCUAUCCCUUGACCAACAGCAGAUCUUUUAAGUGGUAAAGCCCUUGUUCCUCCACUUUCAGAAGAUCCUACCAAAUUUAGAAAAGAAUUUUUAUUUUCUUAUGUUUAAAGAUUUUAUUAUAUUUUUUUAAGUAAUCUCUAGACCCAAUGUGGGCCUUACACUCAACCCCAAGACCAAGUCAAGUGCUCCAUUCACUGAGCCAGCCAGGCAGGCGCCUCAGAGAGGAUUUUUUUUUCUAAUUAGUGGCUUUAAAAAAAACUUAAUAAAGAAAUUUUUGAGAUAAAUAAAAAUUAAUGGCUAUUCACAACUGCACUCUCGGAGACCUUGACUGGCUGGGCUGGGUGCUCUUGUGGCCGGGGAUUGAUAGAUAACGCUGCGGUUAAUUUGGCCCUAGAAGAAUGCCUCCCCUCCUUCACAGAAGAGACAGGACCAAAAUUUCUCCGCAGCCCUCCUACAAAUGAUCUCCAAAAGGCCAAUAUUCAGAGACUAAUAGAAGCCAACAUUAAAUUGUAUACUCAAAAGGAAGGCUUUUGUUAAAAUGCUUUAUGGAUUUUGCAUAAAUCUUUCAAUUCCCAUUUUUGCUAAAAAUCUCCCUGGUUUAAGCAAAAAAAAAGUUGGGGCGCCUGGCUGGCUUAGUCAGUGGAGUAUGUGACUCUUGGUCUUAGGGUUGUGAGCUUGAGCCCAGCACGGGGUGUGGAACCUACUUUUAAGGAAAAUUUUAAAAAGUAGGCCAAUAUUCUGAUAUUCAGGCAGUGCUUUGGGGAAAUUAAAAACAAUCACCUUUGUUUUGCAAAUCUAUCCGAAACCAGAAAUACUACUCAAUACUACUCUCAAAAAAGGUCAAAGCUCAUCUACCUUUAUUAAUCUUAAAACCUCCUCUAGAGGGAUCCCUCGGUGGCUCAGCUGUUUAGCGCCUGCCUUCAGCCCAGGGCGUGAUCCUGGGAUCCCAGGAUUGAUUCCCGCAUCAGACUCCCUGCCUUAAGCCUGAUUCUCCUCCCUCUACCUGUGUCUCUCAUGAAUGAAUAAAUAAAAUCUUAAAAAAAAAAAAAAACCCUCCUCUAUUUCUCUCAAAAUGUUUAUAGAUAUUAUAUAGAUCUAUAAUAAUAUAGAUAUUAAAGAUCAGAUUAUUGGAACAGAAUUGUCCUGUACUUAAGGGAAAAGAAAAGGUAAACUUUAGAUGGCAAAUACCCUGAAACUCGAAGGAAAAAAAAAAAAACAACUUUCAUUCCUUCUCAGUCCCUUAAAGUUAUAAAUCCUAUUAUAUCUUUGAAAUGUGAAUAUAGCAUACCAGCGCCUGGAACAGAAGAAAAAAAGGGGGAGAGGAGGCCUUUUCAAAAUACAAACUGCUAUAAAGGCAGUUGAGUUCCUGGAGGAAGGUCACUCAGACCUAGCAGACCGGUUAGAAGUGCUCAGACUCUAGCACUUCUAAUAACAGGCAGUUCUGCUCCAAAUACCCACCUUGGGGGAAACUUAGAUAUGUUCUCUAUGCCUUUUUGAUAUAAAUUUUCUUUUUUUUUAAGAUUUUAUUUACUUAUUAAUGAGAGACACAGAGAGAGGCAGAGACACAAGCAGAGUCGGAGAAGCAGGCCACAAGCAGGGAGCCCGAUGUGGGACUCGAUCCUGGGACUCCAGGACCACAUCCUGGGCCAAAGGCAGGUGCUAAACCCCUGAGCCACCAGGGCUGCCCUGAUAUAAAUUUUCUACCCUCAUCUUCUCUAGGAACUAAGAGCCAUUCUUCAAAAUGCAAACUUCAGGAAAAGUUUUUUAUCAGGAGAAAAAAAAAGAGAGGGGGGGGGUAUUUGGAUAUCGGGUCUAUAGUGUCCUCUUCACAAAUAUUAAUAAAAACCAAAGCUUUAAAGUUUGGAGGCCAGACCCACGGUCCCUGAACCUGUUUUGAAAGCAUAAGAAGCAUGAGCAGAACUAUAGUUGUAUUAGUUGCAUUAUUAGCUCUGUCUUCUGUUUUGUUCUCUACCUAUAAUUAAUGUUUUACGUACCCCUUAACCUCGUGCACGAUGGAUCAUUACCUUUGCCUCUUUAUCCCCACUCCCUGUUUAUCCACUGCCUGGAUAAAGUAAUAAAGCUUUACUUCAAAACCUGUACCUCAGACAUCGGUGUGUUGCACAUCAGGUGCACAGGUUUGAGUAUGGUAACAAUUUUUGUUUGCAUCUGUCUGGGUAGGACUAUAUAUCUAUAUCUAUACCUAUUUAUAGAUUUAUAGAUAUAUAUACCCAGUCAUACCCAGAUAGAUUGAUCGAUUUGAUAUGAGAUAUUUUCUUUACCUCCAGAUGGUGUUGCUAAAAUUAAUCUGUGAUAGAGUUUUAUUUACUUGGUUUGAAGGCAAAUGCUUGUGUAAGAUUUGGGCAUUCUAAAUUCUCAGAAAGUGAGAGACUCAAAUAUUUUUCGAAUUCACAUGAUCUGGGAAAAUAUUUGGUACUAAAGCUAAUUUAAGGUUGUUGGUUUAAUUAAAAUAGAAAUGUCUAAAUGUUAUCAACAUUAAAACUAAAACUUUGCUUGUAAAUUCAGUAAAUAAAAAAAAAAACCUAAAACUUU